GGAAUACCGUUCCGAAAAGACGCUGGAACAACUCACCAAACUCGUUCCACCAACGUGUCACGUGCUCCGUGAUGGAAAAGAGGCAAUGAUGUUGGCUCGGGAGCUUGUACCCGGUGAUAUUGUACUUCUGAACACGGGAGAUCGGAUCCCGUCCGAUUUACGAAUCGCCGAGAGCUUCUCACUUCAAAUCGACGAGAGCUCACUGACCGGAGAAACUGAGCCGAAGCAUAAGGUUUGUAAUUUGUAGUUUGUGGUUUGUAGUUUAUAGUCUAGACUCCAACAACCUCUUUCCAGGAAACCCGUUCAGUGCCGGCCGCAUCUGCCACCGGAUCCGAUGUUGAACAUCUCACAUGCAUCGCCUUCAUGGGAACUCUUGUCUGCGCUGGCCGUGGCCGAGGAAUCGUCAUUUCGACGGCCGCCAAUUCACAGUUUGGAGAAGUGGUAAAGAUGAUGAUGGGUGAGGAGUCUCCGAAGACUCCACUGCAAAAGAGUAUGGAUGAUCUGGGAAAGCAGCUUUCGAUCUACUCAUUUGGCGUCAUCGCCGUUAUUUUCCUAAUCGGAAUGUUUCAG
rnacentral:sRNA from 1 species